rnacentral:rRNA from 1 species
ACGGAGGGUGCGAGCGUUAAUCGGAAUUACUGGGCGUAAAGCGCGCGUAGGCGGCUUUGUAAGUCAGGGGUGAAAGCCCACGGCUCAACCGUGGCAUUGCCUUUGAUACUGCAGAGCUUGAGUUCGGGAGAGGGUGGUGGAAUUCCAGGUGUAGGAGUGAAAUCCGUAGAGAUCUGGAGGAACAUCAGUGGCGAAGGCGGCUCACUAGACAGUUUCUGACGCUAAGAUACGAAAGCGUAGGGAGCAAACAG